GACAGAGGGUGCAAACGUUGCUCGGAAUCACUGGGCGUAAAGGGCGUGUAGGCGGGAAGGAAAGUCAGAUGUGAAAUCCCUGGGCUCAACCCAGGAACUGCAUUUGAAACUCCCUUUCUUGAGUGACGGAGAGGAAAGCGGAAUUCCUGGUGUAGAGGUGAAAUUCGUAGAUAUCAGGAGGAACACCGGUGGCGAAGGCGGCUUUCUGGACGACAACUGACGCUGAGACGCGAAAGCGUGGGGAGCAAACAGG
rnacentral:rRNA from 1 species